UUGAUGGUGGUAAGAAAUGUGCAU
rnacentral:miRNA from 1 species